rnacentral:rRNA from 1 species
CCCUUAGAUGUUCUGGGCCGCACGCGCGCUACACUGUUCGUCGCAGCGAGUCUUAACCUUGACCGAGAGGUUUGGGUAAUCUUCAGCAAAGACGAACGUGAUGGGGAUCGAUCAUUGCAAUUAUUGAUCGUGAACGAGGAAUUCCUAGUAAGUGCAAGUCAUCAGCUUGCGCUGAUUACGUCCCUGCCCUUUGUACACACCGCCCGUCGCUACUACCGAUUGAAUGGUUUAGUGAGAUCUUUGGAUUGGCGCUGUGGGGGUGGCAACGCUCCUUCAGAUUGCUGAGAAAUUGCUCAAACUUGAUCAUUUAGAGGAAGUAAAAGUCGUAACA